rnacentral:rRNA from 1 species
GACGAACGCUGGCGGCGUGCUUAACACAUGCAAGUCGAACGGAAAGGCCCUGCUUUUGUGGGGUGCUCGAGUGGCGAACGGGUGAGUAACACGUGAGUAACCUGCCCUUGACUUUGGGAUAACUUCAGGAAACUGGGGCUAAUACCGGAUAGGAGCUCCUGCUGCAUGGUGGGGGUUGGAAAGUUUCGGCGGUUGGGGAUGGACUCGCGGCUUAUCAGCUUGUUGGUGGGGUAGUGGCUUACCAAGGCUUUGACGGGUAGCCGGCCUGAGAGGGUGACCGGCCACAUUGGGACUGAGAGACGGCCCAGACUCCUACGGAAGGCAGCAGUGGGGAAUAUUGCACAAUGGGCGGAAGCCUGAUGCAGCAACGCCGCGUGCGGGAUGACGGCCUUCGGGUUGUAAACCGCUUUCGCCUGUGACGAAGCGUGAGUGACGGUAAUGGGUAAAGAAGCACCGGCUAACUACGUG